CCACAUCCAGGCUCCAACCAUAUUUGUAGAGACCCACCCACAAACCACGACCAUCUUCAACCUUCACCAAAAACACCAAUUUCCGAUUAACGCCGGUUCAAAUUAGACGAUAAUGUGGGGUGCAAACGUUUCGUUUCGUGGCGAGAUCUGAUUAAUAUCGAUGGCGGAACGAGUUUUGAUACGUAUUUGGAAGGAUUUGAGAUCAAAAUUAACAGAUCUAGUGGGUGGCAACGUGCUGAUUUGGAAGUUGUUGAUGAGAUGUGCAGAAACUUGAAGAUUAUUUGUUAUUGCAAUUCAUGGAAGUUCACUUGCUUGCUUAGUUACAUUAUGAUAAAUUAUACUUUCUUAUUCAUUUGUCAACUGAUUAUCUUUAUAUCUUGUUGGUUCGAUUAAUUGGCGGACUUCUCCU
rnacentral:lncRNA from 1 species